CGGCGGACGGGUGAGUAACGCGUGGGUAACCGUGCCUCAUACAGGGGGAUAACAGUUGGAAACGGACUGCUAAUACCGCAUAAGCGCACAGUACCGCAUGGUACGGUGUGAAAAACUACCGGUGGUAUGAGAUGGACCCGCGUCUGAUUAGGUAGUUGGUGGGGUAACGGCCUACCAAGCCGACGAUCAGUAGCCGACCUGAGAGGGUGACCGGCCACAUUGGGACUGAGACACGGCCCAA
rnacentral:rRNA from 1 species